AAGACUAUACUUUCAGGGGUCGUUUCUAUAGUUUGUUACUUGAGAAGUUUCUCUGACUGUACAGAGCACCAGAAGCCAGCAGAGCGAGAUAUACCAUCCCCUCCUGAGCGUGCCGGCUCGGCUCUAGGUGUUGCUUCAGUGCAGCUUCCUCCAGCCACUGAUGACCGAUCUUCUCUUCUUCGAGAGGGUAAGAGGGAGGGAACACACUCUGAGUGGA